GGGGGAUAUUGCGCAAUGGGGGCAACCCUGACGCAGCAACGCCGCGUGAAGGAUGAAGGUUUUCGGAUUGUAAACUUCUUUUAUUAAGGACGAAACUUGACGGUACUUAAUGAAUAAGCUCCGGCUAACUACGUGCCAGCAGCCGCGGUAAUACGUAGGGAGCAAGCGUUGUCCGGAUUUACUGGGUGUAAAGGGUGCGUAGGCGGCUUUGCAAGUCAGAUGUGAAAUCUAUGGGCUCAACCCAUAAACUGCAUUUGAAACUGUAGAGCUUGAGUGAAGUAGAGGCAGGCGGAAUUCCCCGUGUAGCGGUGAAAUGCGUAGAGAUGGGGAGGAACACCAGUGGCGAAGGCGGCCUGCUGGGCUUUAACUGACGCUGAGGCACGAAAGCGUGGGUAGCAAACAGGAUUAGAUACCCUGGUAAUCCACGCUGUAAACGAUGAUUACUAGGUGUGGGGGGUCUGACCCCUUCCGUGCCGGAGUUAACACAAUAAGUAAUCCACCUGGGGAGUACGGCCGCAAGGUUGAAACUCAAAGGAAUUGACGGGGGCCCGCACAAGCAGUGGAGUAUGUGGUUUAAUUCGAAGCAACGCGAAGAACCUUACCAGGUCUUGACAUCCAACUAACGAAGUAGAGAUACAUUAGGUGCCCUUCGGGGAAAGUUGAGACAGGUGGUGCAUGGUUGUCGUCAGCUCGUGUCGUGAGAUGUUGGGUUAAGUCCCGCAACGAGCGCAACCCUUGCUAUUAGUUGCUACGCAAGAGCACUCUAAUAGGACUGCCGUUGACAAAACGGAGGAAGGUGGGGACGACGUCAAAUCAUCAUGCCCCUUAUGACCUGGGCUACACACGUACUACAAUGGAUGUUAACAGAGGGAAGCAAGACAGCGAUGUGGAGCAAACCCCUAAAAACAUUCUCAGUUCAGAUUGCAGGCUGCAACCCGCCUGCAUGAAGAUGGAAUUGCUAGUAAUCGCGGAUCAGCAUGCCGCGGUGAAUACGUUCCCG
rnacentral:rRNA from 1 species